GAGACACCCUUCUGGGGCAAGACUUGCUUCAGUGGGGCUUUGGUGCUCACAGAGUCUGCCCCCUGAGUGUGUCCCU
rnacentral:pre_miRNA from 1 species